UCAAGCUGAUAAGGGCGCAGGGUGGAUGCCUUGGCACUAAGAGCCGAAGAAAGACGUGAUAAGCUGCGAAAAGCUGCGGUGAGGAGCAAAUAUCCAUUGACCCGCAGAUAUCUGAAUGGGGAAACCCGGCUGAGCAAACCUCAGUCAUCCAUACGCCAAUACAUAACGUAUGGAGGGGAACCCGGGGAACUGAAACAUCUAAGUACCCGGAGGAAGAGAAAGAAACAUCGAUUUCCUAAGUAGCGGCGAGCGAAAGGGAAAGAGCCUAAACCGGAGCGCGUGCGUUCCGGGGUCAUGGACUGCAAAAGUGAGUCAGAAGCUAGAAGAAAGGUUUUGGGAAAGCCUGCCAGAGAGAGUGAAAGCCUCGUAUUUGAAAGCGGAAGACAGCGGCAGUAUCCGGAGUACCACGAGACACGAGAAACCUUGUGGGAAGUCGGGGGGACCACCCCCCAAGGCUAAAUACUACUUAGUGACCGAUAGCGCAUAGUACUGUGAAGGAAAGGUGAAAAGAACCCCGGGAGGGGAGUGAAAGAGAACCUGAAACCCUGUGUCUACAAGCUGUGGAAGCACCCUACGAGUGCAACCGCGUACUUUUUGUAGAACGGUCCGGCGAGUUAUGUGGUGUGGCAAGGUUAAGCACGGAAAGUGUGGAGCCGAAGGGAAACCAAGUCUUAACUGGGCGAUAAAGUCACAUAACAUAGACCCGAAACCGGGUGAUCUAUCCAUGUCCAGGUUGAAGCUGCUGUAAAAGGUGGUGGAGGACCGAACGCACAUCCGUUGAAAAGGGUGGCGAUGAGGUGUGGAUAGGGGAGAAAUUCCAAUCGAACUCGGAGAUAGCUGGUUCUCCUCGAAAUAGUUUUAGGACUAGCCUGUCAGGAGUCUGCUGGAGGUAGAGCACUGAAUUUUUGCGGGGGCGUCAAAGCCUACCAAUGAAUAUCAAACUCCGAAUGCCAGCCAGAUGCUCUGAUGGAGUCAGACUGCACGAGAUAAGUUGGGUAGUCAAAAGGGAAACAGCCCAGACCACCAGCUAAGGUCCCAAAGUGCGUGUUAAGUGGAAAAGGAUGUGGGAAUUCGAAGACAACUAGGAUGUUGGCUCAGAAGCAGCCAUUCAUUCAAAGAGUGCGUAACAGCUCACUAGUCGAGAGUUCCUGCGCCGAAAAUGUCCGGGGCUAAAACACGACACCGAAGCUGUGGAAUCAUGCUUGCAUGAUUGGUAGAGGAGCAUUCGCUGAGAGACGAAGCUGUACCGAAAGGAGCAGUGGAUUUCAGUGAAGAGAGAAUGCCGGAAUGAGUAGCGAGAGAUAGGUGAGAAUCCUAUCGGCCGAAUAUCUAAGGUUUCCAGAGUAAAGCUGAUCUGCUCUGGGUAAGUCGGGGCCUAAGGCGAGGUCGAAAGACGUAGUCGAUGGAUAACAGGUAGAGAUUCCUGUACUUCAUAAUAUCAGAAAUGUGGGGACACAGAGGCGAAGCACAAGCCGGGAAUGGAAAGACCGGUGCAAGCUAAGGAGCAGUAUGAGAGGCAAAUCCCUCAUACAAUGCGAGAGAGUGAAGCGUAGCGAACAUAAGGGUAGCGAAGUGUGUGGAGAAGCUGUCAGGAAAAGCCGCUAUUGUGUAUUAUGAACCCGUACCGUAAACCGACACAGGUGGAUGAGGAGAGAAUCCUAAGGCCGACGGAAGAAGCAUUGUUAAGGAAUUCGGCAAAAUGACCCCGUAACUUCGGGAGAAGGGGUGCCUGCGCAAGCAGGUCGCAGAGAAUUGGCCCAAGCAACUGUUUAGCAAAAACACAGGUUUAUGCGAAACCGAAAGGUGAAGUAUAUGAGCUGACGCCUGCCCGGUGCUGGAAGGUUAAGGGGAGUGCUUAGACUACGGUCGAAGGUGCGAACUUAAGCCCCAGUAAACGGCGGCCGUAACUAUAACGGUCCUAAGGUAGCGAAAUUCCUUGUCGGGUAAGUUCC
rnacentral:rRNA from 1 species